AAGGAUGAGCUCGCGGCCUAUCAGCUUGUUGGUGAGGUAAUGGCUCACCAAGGCUUCGACGGGUAGCCGGCCUGGAGAGGGGUGACCGGCCACACUGGGACUGAGACACGGCCCAGACUCCUACGGGAGGCAGCAGUGGGGAAUAUUGGACAAUGGGCGAAAACCUGAUCCAGCAACGCCGCGUGAGGGAUGACGGCCUUCGGGUUGUAAACCUCUUUCAGCAGGGACGAAGCGAAAGUGACGGUACCUGCAAAAGAAGCACCGGCCAACUACGUGCCAGCAGCCGCGGUAAUACGUAGGGUGCGAGCGUUGUCCGGAAUUAUUGGGCGUAAAGGGCUCGUAGGCGGUUUGUCACGUCGGGAGUGAAAACUCGGGGCUCAACCCCGAGCUUGCUUCCGAUACGGGCUAACUAGAGGUAUGCAGGGGAGAACGGAAUUCCUGGUGUAGCGGUGAAAUGCGCAGAUAUCAGGAGGAACACCGGUGGCGAAGGCGGUUCUCUGGGCAUUACCUGACGCUGAGGAGCGAAAGUGUGGGGAG
rnacentral:rRNA from 1 species